rnacentral:rRNA from 1 species
UACGGAGGGGGCUAGCGUUGUUCGGAAUUACUGGGCGUAAAGCGCGUGUAGGCGGUCGUACAAGUCGGGUGUGAAAGCCCAGGGCUCAACCCUGGAAGUGCAUUCGAUACUGCAUGGCUAGAGUCCCGGAGAGGAUGGUGGAACUCUCGGUGUAGAGGUGAAAUUCGUAGAUAUCGAGAAGAACACCGGUGGCGAAGGCGGCCAUCUGGACGGUGACUGACGCUGAGACGCGAAAGCGUGGGGAGCAAACAGG